rnacentral:rRNA from 1 species
GAUCGGCCCGCGUCUGAUUAGCUAGGUGGUGGGGUAAAAGCUCACCAAGGCUCCGAUCGGUAGCUGUUCUGAGAGGAAGAUCAGCCACACUGGGACUGAGACACGGCCCAUACUCCUACGGGAGGCAGCAGUUGGGAAUCUUGGACAAUGGGGGAAACCCUGAUCCAGCCAUGCCGCGUGAGUGAUGAACGCCUUCGGGUUGUAAAACUCUUUCGACGGGGACGAUAAUGACCGCACCCGAAGAACAAGCUCCGGCUAACUUCGUGCCAGCAGCCGCGGUAAUACGAACGGGGCUAGCGUUGUUCGGAAUUACUGGGCGUAAAGCGCGCGCAGGCGGCUAUCCAAGUCAGUGGUGAAAGCCCGGAACUCAACUCCGGAACUGCCAUUGAAACUGUUUAGCUCGAGGAUGAGAGAGGUGAGUGGAAUUCCCAGAGUAGAAGUGAAAUUCGUAGAUAUUGGGAAGAACCCCGGUGGCGAAGGCGGCUCACUGGCUCAUUACUGACGCUCAAGCGCGAUAGCGUGGGGAUCAAAAAAGAUUAGAUACCCUGGUAGUCCACGCCGUAAACGAUGAAUGCUUGCCCGUGGCUGCUUGCUGUUCCGAGGCGCAACCUACGCAUUAAGCAUUCCGCCCGGGGAGUAC